rnacentral:rRNA from 1 species
AUUGAACGCUGGCGGAAUGCUUUACACAUGCAAGUCGAACGGCAGCACGGGGGCAACCCUGGUGGCGAGUGGCGAACGGGUGAGUAAUGUAUCGGAACGUGCCCAGUCGUGGGGGAUAACGUAGUGAAAAUUACGCUAAUACCGCAUACGAUCUACGGAUGAAAGCGGGGGAUCGCAAGACCUCGCGCGAUUGGAGCGGCCGAUAUCAGAUUAGGUAGUUGGUGGGGUAAAGGCUCACCAAGCCAACGAUCUGUAGCUGGUCUGAGAGGACGACCAGCCACACUGGAACUGAGACACGGUCCAGACUCCUACGGGAGGCAGCAGUGGGGAAUUUUGGACAAUGGGCGAAAGCCUGAUCCAGCCCUUCCGCGUGCAGGAUGAAGGCCUUCGGGUUGUAAACUGCUUUUGUACGGAGCGAAAAGGCUCUCUCUAAUACAGGGGGCUCAUGACGGUACCGUAAGAAUAAGCACCGGCUAACUACGUGCCAGCCGCCGCCGUAA